rnacentral:sRNA from 1 species
AAAUAGCCCUGAUAGAAGUGGAAAUCCUUAUUUAUUUGCUUUUUUUGGCAAAUAAAUAAGAUUGAAACGGAUAGCAGGAAAUAGC